CUUUCAAGAUGGUGAUGGAGGUGAAAAAUAGUUCAUAAAGUGGUGAUAUUAUUAUCACCUUCAUCUCAGUAAUGUAUAAGAGAUUGGAGAUAAAUGACGACUUAAGAUAU